rnacentral:misc_RNA from 1 species
AAGCAUACUACAAAGGACUAAAAGUGAGUCUUCUUGCCUCCAUGGUCAUUAUGAGAUUUACAUUGCUGUUUAAUUUUUCCUUUUUUAAGAAUUACAAUUUCUACUUAAAUGAUUAAAUAAAUAUUAAUGUAAAUUUUUCAGUAAAAGAAGGUAAAGUUGUUUUUAUGAAAAUUUCGAAAAUAUUUUAUGCCUUCCUGUGUUGUUAAGGCUUCAUAUUCAUGUGUUAGCAAAGGUGAGUUCUUAUGUUGAUGCCAAUUUUGAGGGGACCUAUGAUAAUAUUUUAUAGAAAACUCAAACAUUCCAUUUGGAAUGAUUCUUAUACUAUAAUUAAUAAUUCAAUUCAAUUCUAUUAAAAGUAGUUAAUUUAAUGAUUUUGUAAGAAAAUUCAUG